CAUUACAAAAUAAAUUAUUGUCUGAUCAUGUCAUCAUGUGAAUAAAGAAUAUUUAUAUAUGACACGAUAUUCCACCGGAAUGUAUGACUAAUGUCAAUAAUACACGGAACAAAAAUACCGUCGAACCGCUUCAAGCGGUCCGUGCCUCAAAUCUGCCCCCCGUACGUCACGUGUGUGAAAGACAGACUUUCACUUAUAUCAACAAAUAUGCCGAAGGCAGCGACAGUGAAGGGACAGGUGGAGAAAACUGUUCACCCAUUCAGCAGAAAAGCGCUGUCAUCAAACAACACUUUUACAUUUAUUCACUAAAAUUUUACUUUUUAUGCUUUUAUGCCUGUAAAAGGAAUAUGUCUUCAAAUCACUUCUAGGUUAAAGGGUGAAAAGGCGUCUAAAUUUGAUUGGUACUUUCACCGGUUUGACAGAGAGAAAGAGCUCAGUAUGAAGGCAAUGGCAUUGAAAUCCCUGAUAUCAUCAACUCUAAGCAUCUGAAAAUAUUCAGGUAUUAACUGCUUAAAAGUAUGUUCUUGAACACUUUUUAUAGCAAAUAAAGAAUUUCUGUAACUAGCGGCUUCAGCGCUUAACGUAUCAAAUCUGUCUAAACUUGAGCCACAUUUGUUGAGAAGAAGGAUGUUACUUAUUCUCUCAGGUAACAGUAUUAUUAGUUCAUAAAUAAACCGAGACUUUGAAACCGUUU